UACGAGAGGCCCAAACGUUAUUCGGAUUUACUGGGCUUAAAGAGUCCGUAGGCGGCGCAGAAAGUGGGGUGUGAAAGCCCUCGGCUCAACCGAGGAAUUGCGCUCCAAACUACUGUGCUUGAGGAACCUAGAGGUGAGCGGAACUGAUGGUGGAGCGGUGAAAUGCGUUGAUAUCAUCAGGAACACCGGAGGCGAAGGCGGCUCACUGGGGGUUUUCUGACGCUGAGGGACGAAAGCCAGGGGAGCGAACGGG
rnacentral:rRNA from 1 species